CGGCGCAGCGCGGCGGCCAGGAAACCGGAGGCGGGCCCGCGCGGCCCUGUGGGAGAUGUAGUCCAAGCGCGAGGGAGCGGUCGGCGGCCAGGUGGCACCUCUUCAGCUGGUACCAAGGAGCCAAUCAGUGUGGCUGAAACAAACGUCGCCUCUGCCUUGGAAAGACCUCUCCAUGGAAGUGCUUCUUGCUUCACUUUCUCACAAGGCAGAACAGCCACUGCCUUUCCAUGCAUUCCCAAUGAAUCAUCACAACCCUAAAGAUUUCAUUGGUCUCCAAAGUCCCUGGAGAUUUUCCGUGCCAGCUCCAGCUUCCAGAGUCAGGGACCAGCUCUGGCCACCUCUCCACAUUCCUCCCGUCCUCUCCGCACCCCACUGACAACCCAAAACAGACAUAUAGUUCCAGCUGAGGGUCAACAAUAUGUCCAAAGUAAAAUCAUUUUAAAGACA